rnacentral:rRNA from 1 species
CGUACUCGCAGAAUAAGCACCGGCUAUACUCUGUGCCAGCAGCCGCGGUAAUACAGAGGGUGCAAGCGUUAAUCGGAUUUGCACUGGGCGUAAAGCGCGCGUAGGCGGCUAAUGCUAAGUCAAAUGUGAAAUCCCCGAGCUUAACAUUGGGAAUUGCAUUCUGAUACUGGUUAGCUAGAGUGUGGGAGAGGAUGGUAGAAUUCCAGGUGUAGCGGUGAUAAAUGCGUAGAGAUCUGGAGGAAUAGCCGAUGGCGAAGGCAGCCAUCUGGCCUAACACUGACGCUGAGGUGCGAAAGCAUGGGGAGCCAAACAGGAUUAGAUACCCUGGUAGUCCAUGCCGUAAACGAUGUCUACUAGCCGUUGGGGCCUUUGAGGCUUUAGUGGCGCAGCUAACGCGAUAAGUAGACCGCCUGGGUGAGUACGGUCGCAAGACUAAAACUCAAAUGAAUUGACGGGGGCCCGCACAAGCGGUGGAGCAUGUGGUUUAAUUCGAUGCAACGCGAAGAACCUUACCUGGCCUUGACAUAGUAAGAACUUUCCAGAGAUGGAUUGGUGCCUUCGGGAACUUGACAUACUAGGUGCUGCAUGGCUGUCGUCAGCUCGUGUCGUGAGAUGUUGGGUUAAGUCCCGCAACGAGCGCAACCCUUUUCCUUAUUUGCCAGCGAGUAAUGUCGGGAACUUUAAGGAUACUGCCAGUGACAAACUGGAGGAAGGCGGGGACGACGUCAAGUCAUCAUGGCCCUUACGGCCAGCUGGCUACACACGUGCUACAAUGGUCGGUACAAAGGGUUGCUACCUAGCGAUAGGAUGCUAAUCUCAAAAAGCCGAUCGUAGUCCGGAUUGGAGUCUGCAACUCGACUCCAUGAAGUCGGAAUCGCGUAGUAAUCGCGGAUCAGAAUGCCGCCUGGUGAAUACGUUCCCGGGCCUUGUACACACCGCCCGUCACACCAUGGGAGUUUGUUGCACCAGAAGUAGGUAGUCUAACCGCAAGGAGGACGCUACCACGGUUCCGAUCAUGA